GCCGGGUGUGGCGGUGUGCACCUGUCAUCCCAGCUACUUGGGAGGCUGAGGCAGGAGAAUCGCUUGAACCCAGGAGGCAGAGGUUGCAGUGAGCUGAGAUCACACCACUGCACUCCAGCCUGGGUGACAGAGCGAGACUCUGUCUCAA
rnacentral:sRNA from 1 species